rnacentral:rRNA from 1 species
AACGCUGGCGGCGUGCUUAACACAUGCAAGUCGAACGGAAAGGCCCUGCUUUUGUGGGGUGCUCGAGUGGCGAACGGGUGAGUAACACGUGAGUAACCUGCCCUUGACUUUGGGAUAACUUCAGGAAACUGGGGCUAAUACCGGAUAGGAGCCCCUGCUGCAUGGUGGGGGUUGGAAAGUUUCGGCGGUUGGGGAUGGACUCGCGGCUUAUCAGCUUGUUGGUGGGGUAGUGGCUUACCAAGGCUUUGACGGGUAGCCGGCCUGAGAGGGUGACCGGCCACAUUGGGACUGAGAUACGGCCCAGACUCCUACGGGAGGCAGCAGUGGGGAAUAUUGCACAAUGGGCGGAAGCCUGAUGCAGCAACGCCGCGUGCGGGAUGACGGCCUUCGGGUUGUAAACCGCUUUCGCCUGUGACGAAGCGUGAGUGACGGUAAUGGGUAAAGAAGCACCGGCUAACUACGUG